AUCACUUCUCGGCCUUUUGGCUGAGAUCAAGUGUAGUAUCUGUUCUUAUCUGUUCUUAUCUGUUUAAUAUCUGAUGCGCCAUAUACUAGGGGCCAUAUAUUAAAUGGAUUUUUAGAACAGGGAGAUGGAAGAAGAGCUUGCUCUGUCCACUCCACGCAGUACCUCCAGGACCGGUGCAUAAAGAAAAUAAU
rnacentral:snRNA from 1 species